UACAGAGGGUGCGAGCGUUUAAUCGGAAUUACUGGGCGUAAAGCGUGCGUAGACGGUUAUCUAAGUCGGAUGUGAAAGCCCCGGGCUCAACCUGGGAAUUGCAUUCGAGACUGAAUAGCUAGGGUACGGUAGAGGGAAGCGGAAUUUCCGGUGUAGCGGUGAAAUGCGUAGAUAUCGGAAGGAACAUCAGUGGCGAAAGCGGCUUCCUGGACCAGUACCGACGUCAGGCACGAAAGCGUGGGGAGCAAACAGG
rnacentral:rRNA from 1 species